rnacentral:lncRNA from 1 species
CUUAUUUUGAAACCCUUAGAUUCGAGAGUCUGUCUCCAUACCUCUAACCUCUCAAUAACACCAACCCUCGUCUCGUCUAUCAAUACUAUGUCAUCAACAAAUUGCAUACACCAAGGCACAUCCCCUUGGAUAUGUCGGGUUAGAGCAUCCAUCUCCAAGGCAAACUAGAGAAGGCUAAGCGCCGAUCCUUGAUGGAGCCCCAUAACCACUAGAAAAUGGUCUGAGUCACCACCCA